CAAGCGAUGCCGAAAACGGGUCGCGUAAACCACUCGCUGAUAAACAGGAGAAUUGUUAUGGCU
rnacentral:sRNA from 1 species